UAACACGUGAGUAACCUGCCCUUGACUCUGGGAUAAGCCUGGGAAACUGGGUCUAAUACCGGAUACGACCAUCUGGCGCAUGUCRUGGUGGUGGAAAGCUUUUGCGGUUUUGGAUGGACUCGCGGCCUAUCAGCUUGUUGGUGGGGUAAUGGCCUACCAAGGCGACGACGGGUAGCCGGCCUGAGAGGGUGACCGGCCACACUGGGACUGAGACACGGCCCAGACUCCUACGGGAGGCAGCAGUGGGGAAUAUUGCACAAUGGGCGGAAGCCUGAUGCAGCGACGCCGCGUGAGGGAUGACGGCCUUCGGGUUGUAAACCUCUUUCAGUAGGGAAGAAGCGAAAGUGACGGUACCUGCAGAAGAAGCGCCGGCUAACUACGUGCCAGCAGCCGCGGUAAUACGUAGGGCGCAAGCGUUAUCCGGAAUUAUUGGGCGUAAAGAGCUCGUAGGCGGUUUGUCGCGUCUGCUGUGAAAGACCGGGGCUCAACUCCGGUUCUGCAGUGGGUACGGGCAGACUAGAGUGAUGUAGGGGAGACUGGAAUUCCUGGUGUAGCGGUGAAAUGCGCAGAUAUCAGGAGGAACACCGAUGGCGAAGGCAGGUCUCUGGGCAUUAACUGACGCUGAGGAGCGAAAGCAUGGGGAGCGAACAGGAUUAGAUACCCUGGUAGUCCAUGCCGUAAACGUUGGGCACUAGGUGUGGGGGACAUUCCACGUUUUCCGCGCCGUAGCUAACGCAUUAAGUGCCCCGCCUGGGGAGUACGGCCGCAAGGCUAAAACUCAAAGGAAUUGACGGGGGCCCGCACAAGCGGCGGAGCAUGCGGAUUAAUUCGAUGCAACGCGAAGAACCUUACCAAGGCUUGACAUGAACCGGUAACGCCUGGAAACAGGUGCCCCGCUUGCGGUCGGUUUACAGGUGGUGCAUGGUUGUCGUCAGCUCGUGUCGUGAGAUGUUGGGUUAAGUCCCGCAACGAGCGCAACCCUCGUUCUAUGUUGCCAGCGCGUGAUGGCGGGGACUCAUAGGAGACUGCCGGGGUCAACUCGGAGGAAGGUGGGGACGACGUCAAAUCAUCAUGCCCCUUAUGUCUUGGGCUUCACGCAUGCUACAAUGGCCGGUACAAAGGGUUGCGAUACUGUGAGGUGGAGCUAAUCCCAAAAAGCCGGUCUCAGUUCGGAUUGGGGUCUGCAACUCGACCCCAUGAAGUCGGAGUCGCUAGUAAUCGCAGAUCAGCAACGCUGCGGUGAAUACGUUCCCGGGCCUUGUA
rnacentral:rRNA from 1 species